rnacentral:rRNA from 1 species
UCAUGGCUCAGGAUGAACGCUGGCGGCGUGCCUAAUACAUGCAAGUCGAGCGGUAAGGCUUUCACUCUGUAUUUAAUGAGUUGAAUAUAGUGUGAAAGUACACGAGCGGCGGACGGCUGAGUAACGCGUAGGAACGUACCCCAAAGUGAGGGGAUAAGCACCGGAAACGGUGUCUAAUACCGCAUGUGAUCUUCGGAUUAAAGCUUUAUGCGCUUUGGGAGCGGCCUGCGUAAGAUUAGUUUGUUGGUGAGGUAAUGGCUCACCAAGACUACGAUCUUUAGCUGGUCUGAGAGGAUGAUCAGCCAGACUGGGACUGAGACACGGCCCAGACUCCUACGGGAGGCAGCAGUAGGGAAUUUCCACAAUGGACGAAAGUCUGAUGGAGCAACGCCGCGUGCAGGAUGAAGGCCUUCGGGUUGUAAACUGCUUUUAUCUGUGACGAUUAUGACGGUAGCAGAUGAAUAAGGAUCGGCUAACUCCGUG